GGCCUGGGCUGGGGAAGGUGGGUCUCAGUACUUGGCCUGCUGAGUCUUCACCCCUAGAUGAGCUCUAAAUGAGAACAACCCUAUUACCACCUUCCUUAGGCUGGCUGCAGUGUGAGUGCAGAAACAGGACACCCUGAGGGAUGUGUGACCUAACAGUGGGAUUAGUCUGGGCAGCCUGCUGGUCUGUGGCUCAGUCCUCAGCUUUGGCAAAUCUAGUCAGAGGCACCCCAGUCCCAGCCUCCUCCAUCUCCAGAGCCACACAGGUCUGGAUCCUCGUUGCCAUGGCAAUAGUUUUGGGAACCUAGGAAGACCCAGCUUCUUCUCUCCUCCUGCCAGGCAGGCGUGGAGCAGACAACAGGACCAUGGGGUCAGGGAAGCAGCUGGCACCUCCCCCAGGAGGGGAGUAUCAGGCUGGGGACACAGUUGGUUUGGUCAGCCUAGGCCAGGCAGGACACUAGAGUAUCAAUGAGGCCUCGGGUACAAUGUCCCUGGAACUGAGCCUGAAGUCCCCCACCUAAACAAUGGCAGAACAGGGUGAAGAAUCAUGACCCUCCUAGCUGUGAAAUCACAGCUAAGAGCUGGUGAUGAGAAUUUGAAAGUCACCAGACCUCUUUAUUCCAGGACACCUCUUUCUCACCUUUGACCUUAGUCCAAAGGGCAGUGAGCCCAGAGCUUACCUGGCUCUAUCCUGACCUCAACCCAACUUCUUCUCCAGCUCCAUCUUGACCCCCAACUCCACUCCUACCCCAGUCAACACCCCCAUGUGCCCAGACAACUUGGCAUAGAACAGACCUGCCAUUUAGCAGGCAGCCAGCCUGCCCUCUGGCCCCUCACAAACAAUAGGGACUCCAGGAAUAUUGUCUACCCGGACUGAAUCAAACACUCUAAAUUUAGUCUGUCUGAUGCACCCUCUGCUUCCUGCCCCUGUUGCCCUCCUUUCAAGGGGAUGAGGUCACCCCGGAACUGCAUGCCUUGGCAGCCAGACCCAGGGGGUUUCCAGGUCCAGGGCAUUCUCCUGCUCUUGGGAAAUGGACCAUGGGGAUCAGAGGUCCUGAGUCCUUCCUCCUGCCCCACCCCACUGUGUUCCAGGAUCUUCUCCAAAGUGUUUUAGGGAUAACCCAUGCUUGCAGAAGCGAGAGAGUGGAAGCAAAACCAAUGGCCAGGCAGGCUUUGUCCCUGCCCUGGAGGUGACAGCCUGAGGGAAGGACAGUCAGCAAAUAAACAAGGAGUGAGCAGGGCUAUCUCAGCAGUGUCAGGGUAGCAUAAAGGACACAAAUCAGAAAUCUGAUCAACAGACACAGAGUGGGUGGAGACCUUGGCUUAAGAAAGAGGUCAGAGCAGGCUUCUGUGAGAGUGACAUUUGAGCUGAGACUUGAAUGACCAGGAGGCUGCAGUCCUAGGUUGGGCCACUCCCUGAAGGCCAGAGGAGGGGUGACUCAGGAUGCUACCUCAGCGCCUCUUGGUUCACAGAUAACCCUGAUGCCAGGGAAGGUGAAAGGCUCCAGCUAACCUUCUAGUCUACAGAAGCAAGAUUUGGGCGCCAUCCCAACUGAACUGUGACCAUCUGUCAGACUUCGUUUCCCCAAGGGUGUCCCAAGGUUCUGGGUGAACACUGAACACCAGGACACAGAUCUUGCCCUAGCUUCAACACACUCCAGAGUCCCUGCCUUGUUGGCUGUGGCUGCACUAUCCCACUUGGUUUCUCCUCUCCCUGGCCACUUAGGAGAGGCAGAAAUCUUUCUGAGAGCUGGAUGGUGGAGCACGCCUUUAAUCCCAGCACUUGGAAGGCAGAGGCAGGCAGAUCUCUGUGAGUUUGAGGCCGGCCUGGUCUACAGAGCGAGUUCCAGGACAGGCUCCAAAAACUACACAGAGGAAUGGGAGUCCCAGGAGGCAGAACAUCUCAGUUGUAGUAGGUGACAGAUACCUGGUGAAGGUAUCAACUCAGAAGCCCAGCAGUCUUCACUAUGAG
rnacentral:lncRNA from 1 species